ACAGAAGGCAACAGACCACUGCAACAGAAACUAUCCUUAGAUGGGAAUCCCAAACCUAUACAUGGAACACCAGAGAGGUCAGAUGGCCUACAGUGGUCAGCUGAGCAGCCUUGUAACCCAAGCAAGCCUAAGGCAAAAACAUCUCCUGUUAAGUCCAAUACCCCUGCAGCUCAUCUUGAAAUAAAGCCAGAUGAGUUGGCAAAGAAAAGAGGCCCAAACAUUGAGAAAUCGGUGAAGGAUUUGCAACGCUGCACUGUAUCUCUAACGAGAUAUCGUGUCAUGAUCAAGGAAGAAGUGGAUAGUUCGGUGAAGAAGAUCAAAGCUGCCUUUGCUGAAUUACACAACUGUAAAAUGAGCACCACAUGGGACACGAGACAUCUUGAGAUUUAUAACCGACUCUCUGUGUUUCACUCCUCAAGACCUGGAAGUGUGGGGCCAGGGCAGUCAGCAUCCAGGGAAGUUGUGUAUCUUUUCUCGGCUUGUGGGUCACAUUUUGUUUUAAACUGCUGGGUAGGAUCGCUUCUGAAUGAACUCUGCCAGGCAGCACUGCUGUUUAAAAGUCACCUCCUAACAAAUGGCACUUUUCCUCCAAACGGAAGAAGAAGAAAUAGAGAUGAACCAUUUUCUAUGUGCUGUUACUACAAAAAUGCGUAAACACCAGUGCUUGCUUUCCGAUCUAACCUUUAAUAAAAAUGAUGCCAAAGUAAGUACAUAGAUGUUAACUUAAACAUAAAACAAAAGGAAUUCUUUCUCAUCGACCAUUAGCAGGCAUUUCUGCCAAACGGAAAAACAUUACCUCUCUGUUCCAAACAAGCCUGCAGCCUAGCCAGCGAGAUGAUUGAUGUACUUGGAUAAAGUCCUCCUCUCAUUUUCUGAGGGGGAGAAAUGGAUGAAUUUCAGGGAUUGGGCUGCUCUUAAAAAAUAACGGGUCACAGAAUUGAAGAAGGCAGCUUGCAUGUUUUCAAAAAUGAAGCUUUCCUCUUGGGGGUGAAAUCUCGGACUCCAGGCAUUAGAGAAAAUUUUGAAUGCAGCGUCAUUCAUUUAAUAGAGUCAGACCCUCAGGAUUACAUUGUAAGGCAUAUCCAGAUGUGGAAGAUGUGGGACAAGGCCUCGAGAUUUCCCAAAUGAGUGAUGGUUCGGAGACAGACUUGAACCCACCCGGUGCACAAGCCACAUUGCACUUUUGGCUCCUCUGUCCUUGCUUCAGGCCAUGCGGCGCCCUCACCAGAGCCUUCGACGGGCACUGCGUGGAGCUUAGAAAUAAACAGAAACUCUCAGGUAAGACAUUCUAAACAUUCACUUUGCUACCGGGCUUCAGGAGGUGAAUCCUGCCUGAUCAAGUUCUCCAAAAGCGUGCUGGGAUUCACGGGAACGAUGAUCUGGGGAGACUGGGAGAAAGCACUUGCUUGCACAUGCCCAGUCCCCAGUGAGCACUCAUCUGAAUAAAAUGAACCCAAUGCUUUUGGAGCCAGCCUGGCCGUGAAGAACGCUUUGUUCAAUACAAUUACUGAAGAAAACCAUGAAGUAGCUCAAAGUUGGCCUGCGACCAGGACACAGUUACAUAAGGCUGAAUGACCAUUACAUGGAUCAUUCUCGUUUUCCCAUAAAGAAUUGGGGAUCCGAGAGGGCAGCAAAGAUGACAUGAUGCUCUCACGCGGUCUUAACAGAAAAUAAAUUUUGCAACAUGAGUGUCUGUGUGAAAAGUCACAUCAGGAAGUAACAUGAAACAGCUGGUUUCCCUCCUAUAUGAUUGGCCCCCUACCACAACUGGAAAAUAUUCAUCCUUUGGAAUCCUAGCUGCCAGAUAUAAUUGCUUUGUGUGCAGACUAGUCUAGCUUCUCAUCACAAAUGUGUGUGUGUGUGUGUGUGUGUGUGUGUGUCCAAGUUGAUGGUGCUGGCUUAAAAUGAACAAUAAACAUUAAAUUCAAAA